rnacentral:lncRNA from 1 species
ACAGACAGACAGACACACGAGUGAUCCUAUAAGGUUCCCGUUUUUCCUUUUUGAGGUACAGAAUCCUAAAAACGAAACUUUUUUUACGAAAGUGAGAGUGAGAAGAGAGUAAAUCCAUCUCACUGUCACUUUUAUGAAACAAUUCCAAUAUAAAAUGUGAAAAUUUCAAAGGGAUACCCUGUAAGAAAUUCCUAAUUUAUUUGCUUCUACAGUUAACAAUAUUGUCCUUUUAUUCGAAAAUGUUUGAACGAUGUAUCAAAUGUGAAACGUUAUUCGACUUAAACGUGGCCUAAACGAAAAUAUUACUUUGCUAAAUGAAAAUUGUCCAAUAAUAGUUCGAAUAAUUUGCACAGAAGCGAACUAAACCGAACCAAGAUUCUACAUAAAACGUUAUUUGACCAAAAGUGACAGCUAUAGUUUGAUUAUUCUACUAAAUGGCAUUCGGCGAAUCGUUGUCGGCGAAUCAAUAAUAGGCUAAAAAAAAUAUCGGAGAAUCACUAUAGGUGUAGCCAUUUAUUUAAAUAAAAAACUAAAUCCUUAUAUAGUUUCUUUUUGACCCAGUGGUUGACUGGUGGAGAAUGCUUUAAGGCAUUAAGCCCACCAUUUGUACUUAUUUUUUAUGUGCAAUAAAUAAAUAUAAUAUUCAGUAAUGUCUUUAGAAUUUUUACAUUACGUAAAAUACUCUAAAGAACUCCAAGGAGGGCUAAAAGUCACCAAAAUGGUGACUUUUGGAACCGUCUAGCAACACUGAUUAAGGAAGGGCAGGGCGGGGCACCAUUAUCGCGUGUUGCCAAUUAUAAAGAAAAAUGUUGGGUAGUAUAAUAUAGAGCCCUAUAACGAGAAAGGCAGUAUAUACAAGUAUUCCCGACGUUUGGACCGUGUAGAUUAUAAUUAUACACGUUUAUAAUCUCUCACGAAUCAGAAAUGUAAAAGUAAAACUCGUGCCACAUUAUAGUCUAAUGAAAUAUUGAGUGGCAACACCCAAUAAAAUGUCAUUCUGACAUUGAUAACUUUGACAAGCUACUCAAGCUCUCUAGCUAGCUAGUCUUUGUUGAGUUCAUGAUGAUAUUCGUGAUAUUUUUGCCGUGAUAUGCAAAUGCAAACAAAAACAAGGGUCAGAGUAUAGCAAAAGGGGCCCGAUUCUGGGACUUAGAAAAAUUUGUGAAGAAUUUUUUUUUGAAGAAGAAAGGGAAAACAUGGAGUGUCUAGAAGUGGUGUCCAAAUUUGUAGGAAAACUCGACGUUUCUGAAGAAAAAUAAGUUCUUUUGGAAAAUCUUGGGAUGCUGAAAGACUUGCUGAUUGAAAAGAUUUGCUUAGUCAAAACAAAAUUUAGAGAAAAUAUCGUCAAUGACUGAUAUCAGUUUUUCUACAUUGAAAAGAAUAAAUAUUGAGGGAAAAGCUAACCAUGGUAUCUUCUGUACUCCAGGGAAGAAAGGAUCAGACAAGCCCACAAGAUAGAGCUAAUCUGGAGCUCAGCAAAGAGAAGAGUCACAAGCAAAAAUUUUGGCAUACCAGCAGCUGACCUUGAAAAACUUAUUCAGGAAGCUUUUGACAGCAUAACACCAGAGCUUUAGAAGAAAAUGACUCAUCAUGUGCUCAAUAUUGAAGCUCAGUGUAAAACCAGAAACAGAAUAAUGGAAGAACUUGAAUCGUUUAUUUUAAGUGUGUUUAAUGAUGAUGACUCUGACAGUAGUUCAGAAUCAAUGGACGCUGAGUUUCUAGAAUCCGAUUUUGAUUAUAGUU